UUGAAAGGUCUUUCUUUUCCACUUUUUUUUUAUUCUUAUAUUCUUCAAGAUCAUCACCUAAAGUCGUGUGAAUUUUAUAGGUUGCAUAAAUGGCAAAUAAAAUAUAAGCUGCAUACAAUAGGAAAAUGACAUAGUAAACGAAAGCAUAUCUCAUUGAACUUCCAAAAAGCCGAAUUAGCUUUCCAUUAACAUAAUUGAUACGCAAUAAGGCAAAUAAAAACACAAAUACACUCACAAUUUUAAGGAUAAAAGAGACAUUGCGUUGAGUUCUCGUUUUAAUGACACGAUGGAUAGAACGAGCAUCAAAGGAUUCUUG
rnacentral:ribozyme from 15 species